AUUGAACGCUGGCGGCAGGCCUAACACAUGCAAGUCGAGCGAGUGGCGGACGGGUGAGUAAUGUAUGGGGAUCUGCCUGAUAGAGGGGGAUAACUACUGGAAACGGUGGCUAAUACCGCAUACCAUCAGAUGAACCCAUAUGGGAUUAGCUAGUGGGUGGGGUAAAGGCUCACCAAGGCGACGAUCCCUAGCUGGGCUGAGAGGAUGAUCAGCCACACUGGAACUGAGACACGGUCCAGACUCCUACGGGAGGCAGCAGUGGGGAAUAUUGCACAAUGGGCGCAAGCCUGAUGCAGCCAUGCCGCGUGUAUGAAGAAGGCCUUAGGGUUGUAAAGUACUUUCAGCGGGGAGGCGUUACCCGCAGAAGAAGCACCGGCUAACUCCGUGCCAGCCGCCGCGGUAAUAC
rnacentral:rRNA from 1 species